rnacentral:lncRNA from 1 species
UCACCCCUCCAUUAUUACAUACUCUUCUGCUGAGCUCCAACCUGGCCUUUGAAUCAUUGGUGCUCAAGGUGAAAUCCAUUUCAUGGCAUAAAUAAAUAGAUGAGGAAUCUGAGGCUGAGAGAGAAUAACCACUUGUCCAGGGUCAUAGAACUGGUAAGUUUCUUGCCUCUCCAUAUAAACCUCUACUGUUUGUCCUUAUUCACAAAGUAACUUGCUGGGAUUUUGACUGGGUUAUACUCUUUUUAAUACUUCCAGGAAACUCCUCCUUUAUGUAAUGUCAUCCUCACAAGUCCUCAUCAUUCCAAAUUUUUUUAACUUGAAUUUUUUUAUUAACGAAAUUUUUAAACUAAGUACUAUACAUGCAUGGUUCAAAAUUCAAAAUGUACAAAAAUAUAGAAUGAAAAUAAUUGUUCUUUCUGCUCCUGUUCCUCACCCCAUUAGGCCCAUUCCCACAGACAGCACUCAACCAGUUUCUUGUGUUUAUUCUACACAUUGACACACACAGAUGGGCAGAUAGACACAGACAAGUCACAGACACAGACAUACUCCCUGCCCCCACUCCCUCACAUGUACAUGUUAGCAUAAACAUAGUGAGUUCAUAGCUAUAUACCUUAUGUUUUUCUCUUGACUAUAUAUA